CUCGCGAGAGCCGCCGAGUAAACACUGCUCCGCCGAGGCCCUCCCGCUGCCGUCCUGCUCCUCCUCCUCCUCCUCCUGCUCCUCCUGCCAUUAGCGCGGAGGAGGGGGCCGCGCUCCUUGAGGCGCCGGCUGCAGGCAGCGAGCGAGGAGAGUACAUGUUACCAUGGCGAUGACUGCAGGGACUACAACAUCCUUUCCCAUGAGUAACCACACCCGGGAGAGGGUGACGGUGGCCAAACUUACGCUGGAGAACUUCUACAGCAACCUAAUUAUACAGCACGAAGAGAGAGAAACCAGGCAGAAGAAGCUAGAAGUGGCUAUGGAAGAGGAAGGCCUCGCAGAUGAGGAGAAAAAACUGCGCCGGUCACAACACGCUCGCAAAGAAACAGAGUUUCUGCGGCUGAAGAGGACUAGGCUUGGCUUGGAUGACUUUGAAUCUUUGAAAGUUAUAGGAAGAGGAGCAUUUGGGGAGGUACGCCUCGUUCAAAAGAAGGAUACAGGUCAUAUUUAUGCAAUGAAGAUACUAAGGAAAGCAGACAUGCUGGAGAAAGAGCAGGUGGCCCAUAUCCGAGCAGAAAGAGAUAUUUUGGUUGAAGCGGAUGGAGCCUGGGUAGUGAAAAUGUUUUACAGCUUUCAGGAUAAAAGAAAUCUUUACCUGAUCAUGGAGUUCUUGCCUGGAGGUGACAUGAUGACCUUAUUAAUGAAGAAAGACACCUUAUCAGAAGAGGAGACACAGUUUUACAUUUCCGAAACUGUGUUGGCCAUAGAUGCUAUUCACCAGCUGGGAUUCAUCCACAGAGAUAUUAAACCAGAUAACCUUCUGCUGGAUGCUAAGGGUCAUGUAAAACUGUCUGAUUUUGGGCUAUGCACAGGUUUAAAGAAGGCUCACAGAACAGAGUUCUACAGGAACCUUACACACAACCCACCAAGUGACUUCUCAUUUCAGAACAUGAACUCAAAGAGAAAAGCAGAAACAUGGAAGAAGAACAGGCGACAGCUGGCAUAUUCUACUGUUGGAACCCCAGACUAUAUUGCACCAGAAGUAUUUAUGCAGACUGGGUACAACAAGCUGUGUGAUUGGUGGUCUUUGGGAGUGAUUAUGUAUGAAAUGCUAAUAGGGUAUCCACCUUUCUGCUCAGAAACGCCACAAGAGACUUAUAGGAAAGUUAUGAACUGGAAAGAAACACUGGUAUUUCCUCCAGAGGUGCCCAUUUCAGAAAAAGCAAAGGAUUUAAUUCUAAGGUUUUGUAUCGACUCAGAAAAUAGAAUUGGUAGUAAUGGAGUAGAAGAAAUAAAAAGUCACCCGUUUUUUGAGGGAGUGGACUGGGGACAUAUCAGGAACACAAGAAAAGCAAACUCUAUUCCAGAAAUGCAGGGGAAAUAGAUGAAUGAAGAGGAGAGGCAGCAAGUGAGAGGAAAAUGCAGGGCAUGUCUUUAUUGCAUGCUGCAGAUACUACACCGGAGUGAACCGGGAAAGACCAGCUGCAAUCCCUAUAGAAAUCAAAAGUAUUGAUGAUACUUCCAACUUUGAUGAAUUUCCCGAAUCUGACAUUUUACAGCCAGUGCCAAACACAACGGAACCUGACUACAAAUCCAAAGACUGGGUUUUCCUCAAUUAUACCUACAAGAGGUUUGAAGGGCUCACGCAGCGUGGCUCAAUCCCUUCCUAUAUGAAAGCCGGGAAGUUGUGAAACAAAACACAAACCCACAAAAGAUAUAAAAACACAAACCUCAGGUAGCUCAUCACCAGACCCGCUUGGCGUUAGUUAUCAAUACAUUGACUCUGGUGCGCAUCAAUUUCACAAGGAAAUUCUACAGGAUUAGGAUUUCUGAGACUACUACAGGAAUUAGUUGGCAGUGCCAGCUGGCUUUUUUUUUUUUUUUCCUUUUUUCUUUUUUUUUUUUUUAAUAUUUGAAUAUUUUUGUUAACUUUAUUAUACAAAGGUACUGGAAUAAAAGGAACGUACAUCCCUUUAACUGCACUGCCUAUGUGUGUAUAACGGUUAAUUAUGCCUCUCUGUAGUGUGGCUUUGUACUGUAAACCAUCUAAUCCAGCCAGGAGUAAAACAUAUCAUUUUAUGCAGCAUUGUUACUAUACUGCUUACCUGGGUUUUAGGUACGCAGUAUAAAAAAACAUUGCCCACAUUUGCAAAAUUCUCUGAACAGUUGCUCCAGGGCAUUCCAGUUGUGGUCUGCAGAUACCCCGUGAGUGUGGCAACACUGAGUUAUUUUAAAUAGCAGUGUCCUGUGGGCCUAUGUGUACCUUGUCUACCCUCGCUUCUCCCCACUGGAGGGCUUUAUCAGCUGAUCAUGUCUUCUUCUCUUUCUUCCUUUUCUCACUGUGUGUGGUGGUGAGACUGUCCCUGUGAUCCGUUCAGUGGCGUUUUUGCUUUAAAUGGUAGUUGAUGGGUGUUACUGUUUAAGAUGACGAUGCCUGUUGGCAACUUCAGAAGAGAAAAGGAAUCUGAGUAAAAAUCAUAAAGAUUUUUAACAGAAGGGAGAUUUUCUGAUACCAAGUUCUGAAGAGAUGGCAGUUUCCAGGGCUGCAUUCCUGCCUCUGCUGUAAAGCAGACCAUCUUUUUGCUGCUUGUAAUUCGAAUAGCCUUUUCUGUCAGUGCAAAAUGUAUUCUAGAAGAGUGACCAAAUUGUUGCUUUUUGAGUUUUGUCACCCCAAGAAGUUCCAGGCAGAAGGGAUCCCGUUUUAGCCUUGUCUUUCUAGAGUACCCUGUGGCAGCCUCUGCCAAGCUAGAGGAAAUGGAGCCCCCACUAGAGUCAGACUCUCCUGUAGGCUCCAUUGUCUUCUAGUAUCUCCAUCUAACAUGGACCAUGGACCAUGGGAUGAGUCUGCAGUCCAGUUUCCAGGAACCACAAACAUCCACAACUGAAUUAGGCAGAACAUCCAACUGCUUUUCUCCCCCGUCUGCAGGAUGGUGACAGACUAGCAGCAGAGACAGGUCGUCUUCUCCUGGGUCAAGGAAGCUAAAGCAGAAAUCCCUCCAUUUGCAGUGUAUGGUUUUGCUUCUUGGCCCAGCAGCAGUUCAGGAUUGAACUGCACACCUCAAACAGUUUGCAAUUAUCCAGUCACUGGCAAAUUUACCUAUAUCUCUGCCUGUACCAGCAUAUUAUCUGCAGUACUUCAGAUCUAUCCCAAUACAUCAGAGAUCUUUGAUGUCACUUUCUGGUUACAAAGGAGAUUUAGAGCAAUGGACAAUUCCCUAGUAAUUAAACAAGCAGAGUCACUGUUGCUGUCUUCCUGUGAACGGAAAUGACAGACACUCUAAAACCCAUCGGAGUGAAGCACAGGAUGUUUUGGCAUAGGCUACAGACGGCUCCAUUAGACUGGCUUUUGCAGCAAAAUGGAAGGGACUAUUUAUAAAGCCAUUACAGAAAUACUUAUUGCUGUUAGGCACCAUGGUGCAGCUGUUCUCAAUUAUUUGUAUGUUUUAAAAACACACUGGGGUGUUCAUCUGCUGCAUAAAAAAAUGUGCCAGCAAGUUUUCUGUGCAUCAGUGGUUUGCUCGUGUGUGUGGUCUUCCCCCAUCCAACAGCUACUAGGUUCCUUAAGGCCUUCAGCGAUGUCUUUCCUCCAAUAUUUUGUUUCCCUUCUGUUAUUUGUACUGCAUUUCUGCAACAAAUCGUAGUCUUCAGGCCAUCAAAGGGGAGUAGGCAGUGCCUCAAGGCCCAUCCAAUUUAUACAGUUUAUGCUUUUGCCUAAAUGCUGGUCACUACAUGGGAACAGUUCAGUGAUCUCCCCCUUUUUCUUCCCAGAUCUUAUACUGUUGGGACAAGGUCCCUCAGAAAUUCCCCAGUGUUGUUCUUAGCCUUGUCAGCGUAGUGAAGUUCAACUUCUAUCCAUCCAAAGACUGUCCAGAGACAGUCACUCACUUCAAUCCAUCUUUACACUUUCAGGCUUCAUUCUGCCAGUGCCCUAGCAGCUUCUGAGGCUUCUCAGGAAAGGAAAUCCCUUUUUUAAGGCCUCCAAUCCACUCUACAAGACAGAGGAGCUUGUGCAGAAAAUAUCUGUGGUGCAAACCUGGCCUCAAAGGACACUGCUAUUCAAAAGAGGAUUUUUAUUAGGUUUUAUUUCCUAUAUCAUUCAUGGGGCACUAUGUGCACCAGAAGUGGAAUUCCUGUGACCAACACAUUUCAAAGGACCAGAGUAACCCUAUUUGCAUAAUAUAAACAGAAGUUUUUGCUUGAACUUGCUGAGACAAGAGAAGUUUCAUGGAAACUGCAAAUGCUGAGUAAAUACCGGUGAUUUUUUUUCUUUCUUUAUCCUGCAGGGUUUAGGGGAGGGGAGAGAAAUACACAAUUUAAAGCUAUUAAACAACUACAUCUGUACAUACUCACUGGUUUACAAACCUGGGAAAAAAGCUCACCCCUCAUAUUUGUAACACUAAAGAUAAUACUCAUUUAAAGUUGCAGAUGAUUAAUCAUAUCAGUGCUCACACAGAAGUCACAUCCAUAGGGAAACAGCCUGCAGCCUGUUUAGCAUCAACUCCUGCAUUGUGGUAGUUUGUUUUCUGGUUGUUUUGGGGUUUUUUAAACAUAGCAUUAUUUUAAUCAGUAAGUCAAGUUAAACAAAAUAUAACUGCUGCUUUUAGGAUAGUUUUUUUUUUUUAAAGGUGAAACUGUGACACUGUAAUGGACUAAAGAGAACAGAAGGUUAAUCUACACUGGCUUUCAAAAAAAUGGAAGUGCAAACAUAUCUGUUGUUAUUUUUUGUCUUAUUCCUUUGGAUGGUUGUGUGUUUUCCUUUGGUGAUGUUUGUCACUGUGCCAUUUAUUUCUCUUAUUCUUGGAGUACCAAAGAUCCUGAAAUGGCUUGAUGAUUGCAACCAUGUUGAAAAUUUAUUUUCUGGAAGUAUGUUUUGUUAACUUCUGUUAAAAACGUGGAAUUGUGUAUGCAAAUUGUAAUCAGAGGUUUGCUGGGAAGUUAACCUGUUCCAGCAGGGAAAACUUGAGUGCGUCGAUGGAAGUGGUGAGCCUGAAUCCAAAUUCUGGAUCUGAAUACCCAGAAACUGGGGAGGAAGCUUGGAUUGGGAAACACAGCUGAGCUUUUGCACUUUGUUCCAUCUCCUAUCAGCGUGAGUGAGUGGCCUUAGCUCCAGGACAUCAGCAGAGGUUGUUUCAUGUGCAAAAGGAGUUUAAAAAAUUGCCAGCAUUCAGAAAUCAAAUAUUGUUGAUACUGCAUUUGCACUGUUAAAUUUGCCUUGCUGGAGAGUUAUAUAAGUGUUAUUUUUAUAGGUCAAUUGUUAAAACACCUGUGCCGUUGGAUACAGUAUGGAAUAAUAGCAUCUGACAUGGGUGAAUUCACCUAAGUGCAAAGGGGCUUGCUGAAAGCUCUCCACACUAAGAAAAAUGGGCAGAAGCAGUACAAAGGGUGUUGCGUCGGCUCCUUCUAAAGAGGUGACUUUCCUCCUGUGCAGCAGCAAGUAGGGAAUACUGCAGUUUAGCCCGGUUAUACUCUAAUGCUUAGGAAGUGCUCUCACUUUUUCAAUAAUACGAGCAAUUACAAGCAUUGUAACAUACUGUACCUUGUCCUUUUAAUGUUGAUAUCUUACAGCAGCUCGUUCUUGGAGUCGAAAUGGCAACUGCUAUAUUUUUCCUAGACUGUUUCAUUAGUUGUGGUUGGGAAAGUUACAUAGAAGCAUUAUAAAAAUUUAUAUGAGGCUUUUUACAGCAUUUGAAAAUAAAAGUAGCAUUCUUUUUGUAAA